UACGAAGGGUGCAAGCGUUACUCGGAAUUACUGGGCGUAAAGCGUGCGUAGGUGGUCUGUUAAGUCUGAUGUGAAAGCCCUGGGCUCAACCUGGGAAUUGCAUUGGAUACUGGCAGGCUAGAGUGCGGUAGAGGGUAGUGGAAUUCCCGGUGUAGCAGUGAAAUGCGUAGAUAUCGGGAGGAACACCAGUGGCGAAGGCGGGUCUCUGGGCCGAUACUGGACGCUGAGGAGCGAAAGCGUGGGGAGCGAACAGG
rnacentral:rRNA from 1 species